GAUGAACGCUGGCGGCGUGCCUAAUACAUGCAAGUCGAGCGAGAAUCUUAGAUUUGAAUCUUCGGAGGAAAAUGUAAGAGGAAAGCGGCGGACGGGUGAGUAACGAGUAGGCAACCUGCCCUUAGCCGCGGGAUAGCCAUUGGAAACGAUGAUUAAAACCCCAUAAAACUGUGAUAGCACACGUUAAUGCAGUCAGAGAUUUAUCGGCUAAGGAUAGGCCUGCUUCUGAUUAACUAGAUGGUGAGGUAGCCGCUCACCAAGGUGACGAUCAGUAGCCUACCUGAGAGGUUGAUCGUCCACAGUGGAACUGAGACACGGUCCAAACUUCUACGGAAGGCAGCAGUAAGGAAUCUUGCACAAUGGGGGAAACCCUGAUGCAGCAACGCCGCGUGAACGAUGAAGGCCUUCGGGCUGUAAAGUUCAAAACCCAGGGAAGAAGGAAGUGACGGUACCUGGGGUUAAGCCCCGGCUAACUACGUGCCAGCCGCCGCUGUAA
rnacentral:rRNA from 1 species